AUUGAACGCUGGCGGCAUGCUUUACACAUGCAAGUCGAACGGUAACAGGCCGCAAGGUGCUGACGAGUGGCGAACGGGUGAGUAAUGCAUCGGAACGUGCCCAGUCGUGGGGGAUAACGCAGCGAAAGCUGUGCUAAUACCGCAUACGAUCUAUGGAUGAAAGCGGGGGACCGUAAGGCCUCGCGCGAUUGGAGCGGCCGAUGUCAGAUUAGGUAGUUGGUGGGGUAAAGGCUCACCAAGCCAACGAUCUGUAGCUGGUCUGAGAGAACGACCAGCAACACGGGGACUGAGACACGGCCCAGACUCCUACGGGAGGCAGCAGUGGGGAAUUUUGGACAAUGGGCGCAAGCCUGAUCCAGCAAUGCCGCGUGCAGGAAGAAGGCCUUCGGGUUGUAAACUGCUUUUGUACGGAACGAAACGGCGAGCUCUAAUACAGUUUGCUAAUGACGGUACCGUAAGAAUAAGCACCGGCUAACUACGUGCCAGCCGCCGCCGUAA
rnacentral:rRNA from 1 species